GGAGAGUGUUUGAGGAGGGAUCUGCGGCCCAUCAGCUAGUUGGUGAGGUAACGGCUCACCAAGGCGAAGACGGGUAGGGGGUGUGAGAGCAUGGCCCCCCACAAUGGGACUGAGACACGGGCCAUACUCCUACGGGAGGCAGCAGCGGGGAAUAUUGCGCAAUGGACGGAAGUCAGACGCAGCGACGCCGCGUGGGUGAGGAAGGCCUUCGGGUUGUAAAGCCCUUUUCAGGGGAGCGAGAAAGGACGGUACCCUUGGAAUAAGCGUCGGCUAACUACGUGCCAGCAGCCGCGGUAAGACGUAGGACGCAAGCGUUAUCCGGAUUUACUGGGCGUAAAGCGCCUGUAGGCGGUCAAGUAAGUCGGAUGUGAAAGCCCCGUGCUCAACGCGGGGAAGCCAUUCGAUACUGCGUGACUAGAGAACGGCAGAGGGAAACGGAAUUUCUGGUGUAGCGGUAAAAUGCGCAGAGAUCAGAAAGAACACCGAUGGCGAAGGCAGUUUCCUAGGCCGCAUCUGACGCUGAGAGGCGAAAGCUAGGGGAGCAAACAGGAUUAGAGACCCUGGUAGUCCUAGCUGUAAACGAUGGAUGCUAGGUGUGGGCCGGAAAGGUCCGUGCCGUAGUUAACGCGAUAAGCAUCCCGCCUGGGGAGUACGGCCGCAAGGCUAAAACUCAAACGAAUUGACGGGGACCCGCACAAGCAGCGGAGCGUGUGGUUUAAUUCGAUGCUACACGCAGAACCUUACCUGGGCUUGACAUGUAGGUGGUAGUGAAGUGAAAGCGGAGCGACCCUUCGGGGAGCCUACACAGGUGCUGCAUGGCUGUCGUCAGCUCGUGCCGUGAGGUGUCGGGUUAAGUCCCGUAACGAGCGCAACCCUUGUCCUUAGUUACAAGUGUCUAAGGAGACUGCCGGUGACAAACCGGAGGAAGGUGGGGAUGACGUCAAGUCAGCAUGGCCCUUAUGUCCAGGGCGACACACACGCUACAAUGGUCGGUACAAUGGGCAGCGCAGCCGCGAGGUGAAGCGAGUCCCAACAAAGCCGAUCCCAGUUCGGAUUGCAGGCUGCAACCCGCCUGCAUGAAGCCGGAGUUGCUAGUAACCGCGCGUCAGCCAUAGUCCGGUGAAUACGUUCCCGGGUCUUGUACAC
rnacentral:rRNA from 1 species